rnacentral:rRNA from 1 species
UACGAAGGGGGCUAGCGUUGUUCGGAAUCACUGGGCGUAAAGCGCACGUAGGCGGCUCUUUAAGUCAGGGGUGAAAUCCUGGAGCUCAACUCCAGAACUGCCUUUGAUACUGGGGAUCUCGAGUCCGGAAGAGGUGAGUGGAACUCCGAGUGUAGAGGUGAAAUUCGUAGAUAUUCGGAAGAACACCAGUGGCGAAGGCGGCUCACUGGUCCGGUACUGACGCUGAGGUGCGAAAGCGUGGGGAGCAAACAGG